rnacentral:rRNA from 1 species
GCGAAUCGCCCUUCGGGGUGCACAGGCGCGAAAACUUUACAAUGCCGGCAACGGCGAUAAGGGGACCUCGAGUGCCAGGUUACAAAUCUGGCUGUCGUGAUGCCUAAAAAGCAUUGCAUAGCAAGGGCCGGGCAAGACCGGUGCCAGCCGCCGCGGUAACACCGGCGGCUCGAGUGGUAACCGUUAUUAUUGGGUCUAAAGGGUCUGUAGCCGGCCGGAUAAGUCUCUUGGGAAAUCUGGCAGCUUAACUGUCAGGCUUUCAGGAGAUACUGUCUGGCUCGAGGCCGGGAGAGGUGAGAGGUACUUCAGGGGUAGGGGUGAAAUCUUGUAAUCCUUGAAGGACCACCAGUGGCGAAGGCGUCUCACCAGAACGGACCUGACGGCAAGGGACGAAAGCUAGGGGCACGAACCGGAUUAGAUACCCGGGUAGUCCUAGCCGUAAACGAUACUCGCUAGGUGUCGGCCACGGUGCGACCGUGGUCGGUGCCGUAGGGAAGCCGUGAAGCGAGCCACCUGGGAAGUACGGCCGCAAGGCUGAAACUUAAAGGAAUUGGCGGGGGAGCAC